CGCGUGGGAAUCUACCGAGUAGUGGGGGAUAACUUGUGGAAACGCAAGCUAAUACCGCAUACGUCCUAUGGGAGAAAGGGGGCUUCGGCUCUCGCUAUUUGAUGAGCCCGCGUUAGAUUAGCUAGUUGGUGAGGUAAAGGCUCACCAAGGCGACGAUCUAUAGCUGGUCUGAGAGGAUGAUCAGCCACACUGGGACUGAGACACGGCCCAGACUCCUACGGGAGGCAGCAGUGGGGAAUAUUGCACAAUGGGGGAAACCCUGAUGCAGCCAUGCCGCGUGUGUGAAGAAGGCUCUAGGGU
rnacentral:rRNA from 1 species